rnacentral:rRNA from 1 species
GACGAACGCUGGCGGCGUGCUUAACACAUGCAAGUCGAACGGAAAGGCCCUGCUUUUGUGGGGUGCUCGAGUGGCGAACGGGUGAGUAACACGUGAGUAACCUGCCCUUGACUUUGGGAUAACUUCAGGAAACUGGGGCUAAUACCGGAUAGGAGCUCCUGCUGCAUGGUGGGGGUUGGAAAGUUUCGGCGGUUGGGGAUGGACUCGCGGCUUAUCAGCUUGUUGGUGGGGUAGUGGCUUACCAAGGCUUUGACGGGUAGCCGGCCUGAGAGGGUGACCGGCCACAUUGGGCCGGGGAUACGGCCCAGACUCCUACGGGAGGCAGCAGUGGGGAAUAUUGCACAAUGGGCGGAACCCUGAUGCAGCAACGCCGCGUGCGGGAUGACGGCCUUCGGGUUGUAAACCGCUUUCGCCUGUGACGAAGCGUGAGUGACGGUAAUGGGUAAAGAAGCACCGGCUAACUACGUG